AGUGCACCUGACACGAACACUUGAUGAGGCGAGAGAUUGUGCUCUGUCCUAACAACAGCAUGGUCAUCUCACCCAUCUCAAAACUCAGCUAUUGAAUUGGUAAUUGUUUACGUUGAGUUUCAUGCCAUACAUUGAAAGGACUAGAUGUUGGAUUAAGUUGAAGGUACUUGCUUGGCUAACCUUUGUUUAAUUUCUUUCCACUUUUCUGAUGCAGCCUUAUUUCUGUCAUAAAAACAUUGAAACACCCUCUGCAUAAAUGCACAUGACGUUACAGAACACCCAAUCAAUUUGAGAGAAAGGAAUGAAGACACACAAUUAAGAUCACGAGUGGAACUGGUUACGACCAUUAAGAGAAACCAUUAUGUAUUAUAAUAAUACUGUAAAUUGUUUGGCCACUACAUUAAUACUUCAUUUAGCAAAUUUAAAGUAUAAGUAUAUACUCUG